UACGUAGGGACCGAGCGUUGUCCGGAUUCAUUGGGCGUAAAGAGCGUGUAGGCGGCCAGGUAGGUCGGUUGUGAAAACUGGAGGCUCAACCUUCAGAGGUCGACCGAAACCAUCUGGCUAGAGUCCGGGAGAGGAGAGUGGAAUUCCUGGUGUAGCGGUGAAAUGCGCAGAUAUCAGGAAGAACACGCGUGGCGAAAGCGGCUCUCUGGAACGGUACUGACGCUGAGACGCGAAAGCGUGGGGAGCGAACAGG
rnacentral:rRNA from 1 species